rnacentral:rRNA from 1 species
UACUGGGCGUAAGCGCACGCAGGCGGUCUGUCAAGUCGGAUGUGAAAUCCCCGGGCUCAACCUGGGAACUGCAUUCGAAACUGGCAGGCUAGAGUCUUGUAGAGGGGGGUAGAAUUCCAGGUGUAGCGGUGAAAUGCGUAGAGAUCUGGAGGAAUACCGGUGGCGAAGGCGGCCCCCUGGACAAAGACUGACGCUCAGGUGCGAAAGCGUGGGGAGCAAACAGGAUUAGAUACCC